GCGAGGAAUUUUGCGCAAUGGGCGAAAGCCUGACGCAGCGACGCCGCGUGGGGGAUGAAGGCCUUCGGGUUGUAAACCCCUUUUCUUGGGGAGGAAUAAUGACAGUACCCAAGGAAUAAGUCACGGCUAACUACGUGCCAGCAGCAGCGGUAAAACGUAGGUGGCGAGCGUUAUCCGGAUUUAUUGGGCGUAAAGAGGGCGCAGGCGGCUUUGUAAGUCGGAUGUGAAAUCUCCCGGCUUAACUGGGAGAAGCCAUCUGAAACUGUUAGGCUAGAGGGCAACAGAGGGAAGCAGAAUUCCCGGUGUAGUGGUGAAAUACGUAGAUAUCGGGAGGAAUACCAGUGGCGAAGGCGGCUUUCUGGGUUGCUACUGACGCUUAAGCCCGAAGGCGUGGGGAGCGAACAGGAUUAGAAACCCGUGUAGUCC
rnacentral:rRNA from 1 species